rnacentral:rRNA from 1 species
UACGUAGGGGGCAAGCGUUGUCCGGAUUUAUUGGGUUUAAAGGGUGCGUAGGCGGUUUUCUAAGUCAGCAGUGAAAUACGGCAGCUCAACUGUCGAGGUGCUGUUGAUACUGGGGAACUUGAGUACUGAUGAGGUAGGCGGAAUGGACGGUGUAGCGGUGAAAUGCUUAGAGAUCGUCCAGAACACCGAUAGCGAAGGCAGCUUACUAAGGAGUAACUGACGCUGAGGCACGAAAGUGUGGGGAUCAAACAGG